GGGGUGACUAGUGAAAGAGUGAGAGGGGGUGACUAGUGACAGAGUGAGGGAGGGAGUGGGUGACUAGUGACAGAGUGAGGAAGAGGUGACACAGUGACAGAGUGAGGAAGGGGGUGACACAGUGACAGAGUGAAGGAGGUGGUGACUGUCACUAGUCACCCCAUCCCUCCCUCUGUCACUAGUCACUCCCUCCCUCCCUCUGUCACUAGUCACUCCCUCCCUCACUCUGUCACUAGUCACUCCCUCCCUCUCUCUGUCACUAGUCACACCCUCCCUCACUCUGUCACUAGUCACACCC
rnacentral:sRNA from 1 species